CACAAUUGAACGGGGAGCCGCUUGCCGGCUGAGAGGAGCGUUGCCGCUCGACCCGCAGAACCUGAACCGGUUAGUACCGGCGGAGGGAUGGUUGGUUUCACCUUU
rnacentral:ncRNA from 2 species